rnacentral:rRNA from 1 species
UACGGAGGGUGCAAGCGUUAUCCGGAUUCACUGGGUUUAAAGGGUGCGUAGGAGGGCAGGGAAGUCAGUGGUGAAAUCUCCGGGCUUAACUCGGAAACUGCCGUUGAUACUCUCUGUCUUGAAUCCCGUGGAGGUGAGCGGAAUAUGUCAUGUAGCGGUGAAAUGCUUAGAUAUGACAUAGAACACCAAUUGCGAAGGCAGCUCGCUACACGAAGAUUGACUCUGAGGCACGAAAGCGUGGGGGAUCAAAACAGG